CUUCACCGAGCCGAGCCACAGCGGCCGUUCGGCGGGGCGGUCCUUGCCGUACGUCUCGAUGAGCGCGUGCGCCUC
rnacentral:antisense_RNA from 2 species